CGCUGGCGGCGUGCUUAACACAUGCAAGUGGAGCGACGAACCGGGGCUUGCCCCGGGGCAGAGCCGCGAACGGGUGAGUAACACGUGGGUAACCUGCCUCAAUGAUUGGGACACCCGGGGAAACUCGGGCUAAUACCAAAUGUGUUCACUCCUUCUAAGGGGAGUGAGGAAAGGAAGCUUCGGCCUCCGCAUUGAGAUGGGCCCGCGGCCCAUUAGCUUGUUGGUGAGGUAACGGCUCACCAAGGCUUCGAUGGGUAGCUGGUCUGAGAGGACGAUCAGCCACACUGGGACUGAGACACGGCCCAGACUCCUACGGGAGGCAGCAGUGGGGAAUCUUGCACAAUGCGCGAAAGCGUGAUGCAGCAACGCCGCGUGGGGGAAGAUGGCCUUCGGGUUGUAAACCCCUUUCAGUUGGGACGAAGCUUCGUCGGUGAAUAGCCGGUUGGAGUGACGGUACCUUCAGAAGAAGCCCCGGCUAACUACGUG
rnacentral:rRNA from 1 species